rnacentral:rRNA from 1 species
GAUGAACGCUAGCGGCAGGCCUAACACAUGCAAGUCGAGGGAGAAGCCCUUUCGGGGGCAGAAACCGGCGCACGGGUGCGUAACGCGUAUGCAACCUACCUUUCACAGGGGGAUAGCCCGAAGAAAUUUGGAUUAAUACCCCAUAAUAUUAUUGGAUGGCAUCAUUUGAUAAUUAAAACUGCGGUGGUGAAAGAUGGGCAUGCGUCCUAUUAGCUAGUUGGAGUGGUAACGGCACCCCAAGGCUACGAUAGGUAGGGGUCCUGAGAGGGAGAUCCCCCACACUGGUACUGAGACAGGGACCAGACUCCUACGGGAGGCAGCAGUGAGGAAUAUUGGUCAAUGGUCGGAAGACUGAACCAGCCAUGCCGCGUGCAGGAAGAAUGCCUUAUGGGUGGUAAACUGCUUUUAGAUGGGAAGAAUAAGGCGUACGUGUACGUUGAUGACGGUACCAUAUGAAUAAGCAUCGGCUAACUCCGUG